AUUAUACUCCCUCCGUUCCAAAUUACUCGUCGUAGAAAUGGAUGUAUCUAGAACUAAAAUACAUCUAGAUACAUCCAUACCUGCGACAAGUAAUUCAAAACGGAGGGAGUAGAUA
rnacentral:pre_miRNA from 1 species